AGGCUAUUUUCUGAGAAAGAGUGCCUUGCAGUUAGAGAGUGUUAUCACCAGCUGAUUGACUGGGAAGGAACUGGAAUAAUUAAUACCAGAGGAAUCAUAGGAUAUGUUGCUAGAAGAAUCUGCAUCAGCAAAGUGUAAUAUCUAUGAAGAAAUGGUUACUCUCAGGUGGACCUUUUUGAAUUUGUGAAAGCGCUAUUUCUUAAAGCACCAGGCAUGUGUGUCACAGCAAGAGGAUUUUUUUUAGACUGAGAUUAAAUGACAAUCACUUGUUUAUGUAAUAUCCCAGAUUUUUCUGAAUAGUGGGAGUUUCCCCAAGCCCCUUGAAAAUAGAGAAGAGAGAUCUCAGUGUUUUUUUUCUUCUUACUGAGUAUCAUAUGUGAGAUACUGUGAACAUUUCAGCUAUAAAAAUGUUGGUUCAUUUUAUACAUUGAAGAAGUCACUGUGAGACACAUCUAUAGAAAACCACUAUCUUGGUUCUGUUACUCCCAGAAUAGUUCAGUGCUAAUUCAGUGCAGAAUAGCAGUGCUGUAGUGAAUUCCUGCUCUCUGUAAAGAAAAGUCUGGGAUGUAGAAUGCUACCUCCAACAAAAUUAAGUUUGAGGUCAGGAUAUCCAUCUCUGUCAAGGAGUUCUGAGAAUUUUAUUUCAGAACUCAAAAUAACAUUAAUUAAAGCAUACUAACAAAACAGUACUGCAGGUAACUUCAACAUGAUCAGUAAUAUAUGAGCAUUUUUUAUACAUUACAGAUAGUUUUUUUUUUUUUUAUUUUUAAGGCAUAAUUCCUUAAUUCUAUCUGCUCUGUCAGCUAUAAAGAACACCAGCAAUUCUGACUUGCACUAAUGUCAUAACAGCACUAUAAAAUAAAAUGGGAUAUGUUGUGAGGGAAUCAGCUGGCCAAACAGCUGAUACCUGCUGAGUUGAUGAGAUAGGUCAAGUCAAGUUUAAAUUGACUCUAAGUGUUAGGCAGGCUAAAAUUUUCUUCCCUGCCAUAUUUCAGGUCCUGACUGCUCAGACCUGAUGUUUUGACUCAAGCACAGGUGUGGGUUGACAAUUACUAUCUGCAGGAGGCCUAUCAUCAGGAGGAGAAGUAUUAUCUUCAAUGGCUCCUGUUUAUCCUUUGGGUAAAUUGUCAGCACUGGAGUCAAACAGGCCUAAACCUGUUCUGAAAUUUCCAAAGAAUGUUCAUGUUUUAAGGAAAACAAAAUAUUUUUUAUCGAUCUUUUGGCCCAAAUAGGCACAUUCAUUCUUAAACAGUGAGAAAAUGUGCAGUUUGUCAAUAUAAUAUAUUGACAUAUUGAUAUAUGUGGAAUACUAUAAGAAAGUUUGUGCAAGUUGUCUGCCACAGUGCAACUGAUUCUAUUUAAAUAUAUCUUUAACAUCAUCUAUUUCGUAGCAUGUUUUCUUUUUUUAAUCUAUCUAUCCAGUUACAAUGUUUAGUAUUGUGUUAACUGUUACAUUAAAAAUGUCCUUAACUCUUAUGUUUUAUCCUGUUCAAUUAUUUUUUUUGCAGGGAUUGGCAGAUUCAACUUAGAUGCUUUGAUUUUUCUGUAAGGAAUAAGAAAAAUUCUUUGUAGACAAUUUGCUGGUUUUUUUCCUUCCUUUUGAAGAAAGUGUAGGGUUUUCUACAGUAAUUACUUAGAGAUCUGUUUAACUGCUACCAGGUAGCCUGAUGUUAACACCUGUAGCACAGAAAGACAUGAAGAAUAGUUUCCUUUCUAGCUAGUUAUAGAAUUGGUUUGAAUUUUUUUCUUUGAAAAAUUAAUUUUGAAAAUGGUUCUAAAGUAGAAAUCUACCAUGUAUUUAAAAUAUGCA